GUUCCUCCGCAGAGUCGUCCAUGUUUCCUCCAAACGGCUGAUCUGCACAGAACAGACAAAAACAGUCUUGGUGUUAAAGAACUUUCUAGAACGUCACCAGUGAAACAAAGGUCCAGAGCUUUCAUCAGGGCUGUGAAAGCAAACAGGUCGCCCACUGUGUCCUUUAGCUCCAAUGCAACCAGGAUGAUGCGAUUUAACGUGGACGCCCGCUCCUCCACGCUGCCCGUACAUCCCAGAAUAUCCACGGCAACACCUAUCGCCAUGGUGUGGUGUCUAGGAGAGACAGGGAGGAGAGGAGAGAGGAGGAUUAUCAACACAAGGUCCAGUCUCAGCUGGCGACCGUGUGGCAGCGUCACCAGCUCCAGACCAGAGGACACGCCCAUCUGACUUUUAAGAUCCGGAGUCACUCCGAGUAUCCUCGCAACCU